ACUUAAAUUGAAGAGUUUGAUCAUGGCUCAGAUUGAACGCUGGCGGCAGGCCUAACACAUGCAAGUCGAACGGUAACAGGAAGCAGCUUGCUGCUUCGCUGACGAGUGGCGGACGGGUGAGUAAUGUCUGGGAAACUGCCUGAUGGAGGGGGAUAACUACUGGAAACGGUGGCUAAUACCGCAUAACGUCGCAAGACCAAAGAGGGGGACCUUCGGGCCUCUUGCCAUCAGAUGUGCCCAGAUGGGAUUAGCUAGUUGGUGAGGUAACGGCUCACCAAGGCGACGAUCCCUAGCUGGUCUGAGAGGAUGACCAGCCACACUGGAACUGAGACACGGUCCAGACUCCUACGGGAGGCAGCAGUGGGGAAUAUUGCACAAUGGGCGCAAGCCUGAUGCAGCCAUGCCGCGUGUAUGAAGAAGGCCUUCGGGUUGUAAAGUACUUUCAGCGGGGAGGAAGGUGUUGUGGUUAAUAACCGCAGCAAUUGACGUUACCCGCAGAAGAAGCACCGGCUAACUCCGUGCCAGCAGCCGCGGUAAUACGGAGGGUGCAAGCGUUAAUCGGAAUUACUGGGCGUAAAGCGCACGCAGGCGGUCUGUCAAGUCGGAUGUGAAAUCCCCGGGCUCAACCUGGGAACUGCAUUCGAAACUGGCAGGCUUGAGUCUUGUAGAGGGGGGUAGAAUUCCAGGUGUAGCGGUGAAAUGCGUAGAGAUCUGGAGGAAUACCGGUGGCGAAGGCGGCCCCCUGGACAAAGACUGACGCUCAGGUGCGAAAGCGUGGGGAGCAAACAGGAUUAGAUACCCUGGUAGUCCACGCCGUAAACGAUGUCUACUUGGAGGUUGUGCCCUUGAGGCGUGGCUUCCGGAGCUAACGCGUUAAGUAGACCGCCUGGGGAGUACGGCCGCAAGGUUAAAACUCAAAUGAAUUGACGGGGGCCCGCACAAGCGGUGGAGCAUGUGGUUUAAUUCGAUGCAACGCGAAGAACCUUACCUGGUCUUGACAUCCACAGAACUUUCCAGAGAUGGAUUGGUGCCUUCGGGAACUGUGAGACAGGUGCUGCAUGGCUGUCGUCAGCUCGUGUUGUGAAAUGUUGGGUUAAGUCCCGCAACGAGCGCAACCCUUAUCCUUUGUUGCCAGCGGUCCGGCCGGGAACUCAAAGGAGACUGCCAGUGAUAAACUGGAGGAAGGUGGGGAUGACGUCAAGUCAUCAUGGCCCUUACGACCAGGGCUACACACGUGCUACAAUGGCGCAUACAAAGAGAAGCGACCUCGCGAGAGCAAGCGGACCUCAUAAAGUGCGUCGUAGUCCGGAUUGGAGUCUGCAACUCGACUCCAUGAAGUCGGAAUCGCUAGUAAUCGUGGAUCAGAAUGCCACGGUGAAUACGUUCCCGGGCCUUGUACACACCGCCCGUCACACCAUGGGAGUGGGUUGCAAAAGAAGUAGGUAGCUUAACCUUCGGGAGGGCGCUUACCACUUUGUGAUUCAUGACUGGGGUGAAGUCGUAACAAGGUAACCGUAGGGGAACCUGCGGUUGGAUCACCUCCUUACCUGAAAGAA
rnacentral:rRNA from 1 species